UACGAAGGGGGCUAGCGUUGCUCGGAAUCACUGGGCGUAAAGCGCACGUAGGCGGCUUUUUAAGUCAGGGGUGAAAUCCUGGAGCUCAACUCCAGAACUGCCUUUGAUACUGGGAAGCUUGAGUCCGGAAGAGGUGAGUGGAACUCCGAGUGUAGAGGUGAAAUGCGCAGAUAUCAGGAGGAACACCGAUGGCGAAGGCAGCUCGCUGGGACGGUACUGACGCUGAGGCGCGAAAGCGUGGGGAGCAAACAGG
rnacentral:rRNA from 1 species